GUCUUUUUGAUCAUAAUUUAAAGUCUAAUCUGCCCACUGAUAAAAAUUAAAGGGCUGCAGUAUUUUGACUGUACAAAGGUAGCAUAAUCAAUAGUCUCUUAAUUGGUGACUUGUAUGAAAGAUUUGAUGAAAUAUAAACUGUCUCAAUUUAAUUUAUAAAAUUUAAUUUUUUAGUUAAAAAGCUAAAAUUUGUUUAAAAGACGAGAAGACCCUAUAGAGUUUUAUAUUUUAAUAAUUUAUUAUUUUAUAUUAUUUUAAAAAUUUUAAGUUAUUAAAUUAUUUUAUUGGGGAGAUAGAAAAAUUGAAUUAACUUUUUUUAAAAUUAAAACAUUUAUUUUUGAAAAUAUGAUCCGUAAAUUACGAUUAAAAGAAUAAAUUACCUUAGGGAUAACAGCGUAAUUUUUUUUUUUAGUUCAAAUAAGAAAAAGAGUUUGCGACCUCGAUGUUGGAUUAAGAUAAAAUUUAAAUGCAAAAGUUUAAAAUUUUUGAUCUGUUCGAUCAUUAAAAUCUUACA
rnacentral:rRNA from 1 species